UUAGUCAGCUGAUCCUCACCAUGAGAUUAACGUUUAACCCAGUUGACAGAAGGAGACCUGGGACACAUAAAUAUUGAUGGCUUGGUAAGAGAAGCCAGAGAGAAGAACAGCAAAUGAAAUAACAACAUUAGGGAUCCUGUGACGGUGUCUGCUUAAAAGCCAAUUCUUGUUUCCACUCCUGCUGAGGAACACAAGAUUUUCUGAAAAGUCUGUUGAAAGGCAAUUUAACUGUUUUAGGACAAAACACAAGGUGCACUUUGUCAGCAUCGUGAUAACCCAGAAGAGAACAUGUGUAGAUGGCCCCUAUGAAGCUCUUUUGCUUGUUAGCAGCUGGUCAAAGUUAGCAGAAAUGGAAGGAAGCGAACUGAACCAACAAAAGAGAACUGAGCGAUUCAUCCCGGGUAAGGCUCUUUCUUUGCAUUUUAAAACAAAUCUAUUUUGUUUCAAGAUUCCCCUUGCUGUUUGUGAAAUUUUUUUUUUUUUUUUUAGUUAUGUACUGUUUGAAUAUUUUUUCUCCUUAUUUUUCUCUUCCACUUUUUUCUUCUUGUCUUUGUAAUUUCUUUCCUUUAAAGAGAAUGCCUUGGGUCAAACAGCUGCGUUAUUUCUCAGAGAGGCUUAAAAAAAAAAAAAAAAAGGUUAAGUUAUCCGCACUUACACUCUAGGCCUUUGAAUUAGAAAUAAGAAUUAUUAUAUUUUUAAAUCUCAGGGAAUAUAACUGGUAUUUGUAUUAGGAGGUUCUGGGUCCUUCUUUAAGUUAGUUACCACUCCAAAGUUUAUCUCCAAAGAUAAAUGUUCUCAGACUUUCUAACUAUCACUGGGUCUUAAUUAGCUCACUACGCUUCUUUCUAAUGAGAAGUAUUAUGCCAUGGUUUGAUAUAACCCCACUUUAUUUUUGCCCUAUUGAUAACUGUUUGUCUUUUUUACCUUGGACAAGUGUAUUUUAUGGGCGAUGUACUCAGUUGGAAAUUUACACGCAUGCACACACAUAGUAUAUAUAUGUAUUUGAAAGCUGUAGGCAGAGGGUAAUUUCCUAGUAGACCAACUACAGGAAUCGUCUUGCCUGAGUUCUAAUAUGCAUCUUAGUCAUGUAACACAGAAUUCAUUUUCCUGAUCCUAUUCUUAUGUCAAAUUCAGAAGCUAAAAAUAUUCAUACAGACAGAUAUUGUCUUCCCACGUGACCCCAUUCAAAUGUCAUAUAGAUAUAUUUUGAUCUGACUUCCCAUUGCCAGAUAAACAGCACAGAUUUUCUUUUAUCCAAAAAAAUGAAUUUUUUAUGUGUGUUUCUUCCUAAUCAAGACAUUCUAUUCCAUCCUGAGAAUAAUCCAUAUUAUUCUUAUUAUAACUUUACUACCAAGCUUGGGUAAAAACUUUAUGUCAGGAAUAGCAGAUAUUUGCUUUGAAGUCACAGUCUAAAUUAUUUCUGAAAUUAAAUACUUUACUAGAAAUAUGACUUCAAGUUUUUCCUCUGAAUAUCACAUAAUAAAGCAAUUGUCAUUAGAAGUAGAAAUAAGACUUCUAGGAGGAAUUUGCUCUCCUUGAUAAGACUGAAAGAAGAUAGCUUUUUUUAAUUGCUCAAAUAAAAGAUUUUAUAGAAGUAUAUGUAAGGUAUUUUUUUAUUUACUCUGAAUACUCCUAGGACCAAUAAUUGAAGGAAACAAAGUUUACAUUUCAUUGGUCUUUUUUUCUUGUAAAAACAGCAGAGAAAGAAUACUGUCAAUAGUAAAAGACAGGUCUAUCAAAGUGUGCACUGUCAGUAAUAAAGAAGUAUUCUUUGGCUAUUUCUGGGUAUCAGCAGUUGGUCUUCUUAAGCCUUAGCCACUUCUUAUUAAAAAGUAUGUUUACUACCCAGUUAUAACAAGAAGUCCUGACUUGAAAGAGAAAUUGGCCUCCUUAACUUCUUACUGUCAGGGAGAACUGAAACUACUAGAUGGUUUUGCCAAACCUCAAAACAUUUGAUCUUGCCACUAUCUAAAAAAAUCUUAUUACACUGUAUCACCAACUUUGUCUCCCAACCCCUGCAAUGUCUUUUCCUCCAAGAGCCAAUUUCUGUAAUACUGAAAAUGUUUAGUAGAAUAAGAAGAUAUUAAGGCAAACAAAAAUUAAAGAUAAUUUUGUCCAAUUUCUCUCUUCCAAGGAUGAGAAAGCUGAGUCUCUUGCAGUUUAAAUGACUUCUCUGGGCAGUUGUAACUUGGCAACCCGUGCUAGAAAGCCAAACCUUGGGAGGUAAAAAGUGUUUUGAAUAAUGCCUGUGUGGUUGGACAACAGUCCUGUUAAGGUUUCUUGCAAUGCUGAGUGUGUAUAAUCAGUUUACUUUCUACUGAGCCACAUUAUUUCUGGUUCUCUUUGGAUUUCUGACACUGUUGAACACGUCCUGGACCUAACUGGGCAUUUGUUUGGAGAUAUAGUAUCCGUGUGUAGUUCACCCUUUUUUGUCCUUUAGGAAUUUAAUAGUUUGGAUAUUUGUCCCCUCCAGAUCUCAUGUUGAAAUGUGAUCCACAAUGUUGGAGGUAGGGCCUAGUAGGAGGUGUUUGGUCAUGGGGCAGAUCCCUCAUGAAUGGCUUGGUGCCUUCCUUGAGAUAAUGAGUGAGUUCUUUUAUUUUCAUGAAAUCUGAUUGUUAAAACCUGCCUGAACCUCCUAUCCUCUCUCUUGCUCUCCCUGUCUCUCCAUGAGAUCUCUACACAUAGCUCUCCUUCCCCUUCUGCCAUGAGUGAAAGCUUCCUAGGAGCUUCACCAGAAGGAGAUGUUGGUGCCAUGCUUCUUGCACAGCCUGCAAAACCAGGAGCCCCAAUAAACCUCUUUUCUUUAUAAAUUACUCAGUCUCACAUGUUUAUAGCAAUGCAAAAAAAAGACAGGAAGCCAAAAAUACAUAUAAAGGGAAUAAGAAGGAAUUAGAAAUCAACCUGCUGAUCAAAAAUGAAGACAAUUUGUUAAACUUGCUCCAUGAAAGUAAUUCUAUUUUGUUCCAUAGGAUUUAGUUUCCUGUAAAAAACAAAAAUAAACAAAAAAAAAACUAGCAAAUUCCCUUAAGGUCAGUUCACAACACACUCUACUUUAAUGGAUAAUGUAUAUUUAAUAGAGGGGAAAAAAAGUAUAUUUCUUAUUGUCCAAAGGCUUAAAAUAGCUUUGUGAGCUGACAACAGAAAAAAAUUAAUAGGGCUUCUUUUGCUUUCACCUGAUAUUCACCUUUUGAUGUUAGGAUGGUCUCUCGCAUGAUAGGCCUCUCCACGGGAUCCUAAACUUAAUAGUAUCUAAAAAGUUGAGAGUGAUUUAACAAACUGUUGGAUUUUAAUCCUUCAUCUCACAUAAGAAGAAACCAAGGUCCUGAAAGGUCAUGUCCAAGGUCAUACUACAGCUUAGUGGCAGACCUAGGCAGGAACUCAGGAAUCCUAACUUCUAGGCUAGCAUUCUUCCCACUGCAUCAUGCUGUACCUGUUUUGAAACUAGAUGGAUGAUACCAAAUGCUUCACAGAAUUUUAAAAUUGCUGAUACAAACAUACACAUUUGCUUUGGAUUAAAACAGGAGGAGAAAAAGCAGAGCUAAUUAAAACUUCAGGGAGAAUUUAUAAUAAUUUCACCAGAUAUAAUAUCACCAUUAAUUUUGCUUGGUCUUCUCAAUAAUAUCAGGAAACCCAUCAGUGAUUAGACAAUGCCCCUGCUUCUGUUUGGGCUUUUCUGCAAGACGGGACCAUCAUCAGGACGAUGGUAACAGUACCAAGGUGGUCUUAUUUCCCCCUAGUUGUUCUGACAUCAAUGCACCCAUCAAGAGCAAACAUGUUGCAUCUCUUUUGUGUCCUCAUUUUACAACUGCCUUUAUUUGCUUUCCAUCUGAAUACGUUGUUGCUAAUCUUAGAGCAGGAGAGAGCCCCUGAAGAAAACUAAUUUGCACACAGCUGCAAUUAAUCAGACGGCUUGGAGAGGGGUAGUGAACCCAAAUGUCCUCUUGAAAUGGGAAGCUUAAGUACCAGUAGGGCUUUGUGGGGACCAAGCUCGCCCGGUUCUGAAGGUGAAGCUAGACCUCAGAGCAUGAGGAAUAAUGACUAAUUUGGCAUUCCAACAAGGCCACAGCCUUCAGAGGGUACAUUUCAUGUGAACCCUUAGCCAAGGAAUACAGCAGAGGCACAAAACAUCUGCUGACCACUCAUAAAAGCAAGGAUUGUCGGAAAACAUUCUAUUCUUUGUUUUCCUUCCCCCACUAGCUGAACUUUCGGGUUCCCAGUAGUAAAGCCAGUUUUUAUAUUUAGUUUCAUUCUCAGAUCUCCUGGGUGAGUGGGCUUAUAGAUUUUGGUCAGAGGGAUGGAUAACUCAAGCCCAAAAUUCUCUAGGCAAAAUAUUCACUUACUGGGAGCACUUUGACUGGAUGCUUUUUUGAAAUGGAUAAUUUGACUGGUAUGAGAAAGUUAGAUUGGAAACUCCCUGUUACUGGCAUGUUCUGCUUUGGCAUGGGCUGGAAAACAGCACUUUGGGGCAGAAUAUUAAUAUUUAGUUCUCUGGUUGGAAUUGGUACAUGCUGAUGUGACAAAGAAAAGCUGUAAAAGAAGAGCACAUUUUUCAAAUAUAUAUUUAAUGGUAAAAAGACAAGUUAAGUUUCAUAUCCACAUUCAAUUGAUUGAUAUUUAUUUUAUUCAGAUGUUUUAACUGGCCCCAGAAAGAAAUAUCCUCUCUAAAAGCAAAAUAAUCACUCUUCAGAGCUAGAAAAGAAAAACUUCUCAUAAAUGACUCAAAGGCAAGAUGACCCAUUUCUGAUUUAUAUGAUGAUAUAAACCCAGAGUGGGAGAGGAAGAAGGAAAGUGUAUCUGAGUAUGUUUGAGAAUUAAAUGCCAAAAAUCAGACACUUCUAUAUUUUGUGAGGAAAUCAUGGUUUACUGUGAUUUUCAGAAAAGUCAUCAACAGUUCAUUUAACUUGGCUCUGGGUACUUCGUUCCCUAGUAUAUGUUCCGGACUCAUGCCUGCCAGUUAUGUUUUCAGAUUGAAGCAGAGCUAUGAUGAUUUUUCAGGGGCUAUUAAAGUCCCCACAAAAGAAUUACCAAAAUAAAGAUAGAGAUAAGAGAUUUUCGGGAGGUAGAAGCCAGAAAGUAAAUGAAAAUUACUUACUUUUCAAUUAUAAGAUUGGGGACUGACCAUUUUUUAAAGAUAACUAUACAAAUUGGCACUGUGUUAAGUAAAGCUUAAAUGUGAAAAUCAGGAUUUACAUAGGAGAUAAGGUACGUAAGGGGUGAUUAUUUGCUUAGAAAAAAGGUUUAUAAUAAAGGUCAUUAAAAUAGUAAGUUCUUCCUCAUCCUUAAACAAUGGCUUGAUUUCCAAGAAUUCAAUUCCUAUCUAACUAUGCAGGAACCUGCCUAGCAUAAAAAGCAAGCUACACAGAGCAAUACAGGUAAAUGUAAAUGAUCCUGGCUAAGCGUGGCUGCAGUUUAUCUCUCUAUGAUCAUAGAGACAUUGCUGGAAGACAAGAAGAAUGCUAGAGAGUUUAAAAGAAAAACAUUAGAAUGAGUUGUAGAGAAAGACAGUAAACUACUUCUAGCAAAAAAAAAAAAAAAUUCUUCAAUAUUUUUUCUUCAUAAAAAAUGGAAGGUGGGGUAUUUCCAGACCAAGAUAGAAAUAAGAGCCUUUUAUUAGCCAGAAAACCAGAAAGCAUGGGAUUUACACUGUAGAGGAAUCUAGGUUAUAUUCUAAGAAAAAAACAAAUACACAUAUGUAGAUACAGAUAGAUGUAGAGAGAGAGAGAAUGAUACUAAUAUAAACCAUAGAUUCAAAAAACAAAAAUAUAAAUAUAACAAAAUAUACAAAUUUUAAAACAUAGUAUAACAGGCAUUUACAUAGCAUUUACAUUGUUUUAGAUAUUAUAACUAAUCUAGAGAUGAUUUAAAGUACAUGAGAGGAUGUGUAUAGGUUUAUAUCAUAUAAAUGAGAAAUGGGUCAUCUUGACUUUGAGUCACUUACAAAAAGUUUUUUUCUACUUCUGAACAGUGAUUAUUUUGCUUUUAGAGAGUGUAUUAAACCAUUCUCACAGUUCUAUAAAGAUAUACCUGAGACUGGGUAAUUUAUAAAGGAAAAAGGCAUAAUUGACUCACAGUUCUGCAUGGCUGGGGAGGCCUCAGGAAACUUACAGUUAUGGGGGAAGAUGAAGGGAAAGCAAAAACCUUCUUCACAUGGCAGCUUAAAGAAGCGAAGAGCAGAGCGAAGGGGGAAGAGCCCCUUAUAAAACCAUCAGAUCUUGUGAGAACUCUACUCACUACCACGAGAACAGCAUGGGGCAACCGUUCCAUGAUCCAAUCACCUCCUGAGAGGUCCCUCCCACAACACACAGGGAUUACAAUUCAGAUUAUAAUUCAAGAUGAGAUUUGGGUGGGGACACAGAGCCAGAACACAUCAGAGUGGAUCUUUCUUCCUGGGGCCAGUUGAAACAUUUGAAUAAAAUAUCAGUUUAUAAAUACAUGUAAAUAUACAUACGUGUAUGUGUAUGUGUGUGUGUAUAUAUGUAUAUGUGUGUGUAUAUAUGUGUGUAUAUAUGUAUAUAUGU